GCCCCAGUAGCUCAGUGGAUAGAGCGUAGCCCUCCGGAGGCUAAAACGAGUGUUCGAUUCACUCCUGGGGUA
rnacentral:tRNA from 1 species